UGAUUACAAGGAUUCCCCUAGUAACGGCGAGCGAAGCGGGAAGAGCUCAAAUUUGAAAGCUGGCGUCUUCGGCGUCCGCGUUGUAAUCUCGAGACGUGUUUUCCGUGCGGCUCUAUGGACAAGUCCCUUGGAACAGGGCAUCGUAGAGGGUGAAAAUCCCGUACUUGCCAUGGAAGUACCGUGCUUUGUGAUACACGCUCCAAGAGUCGAGUAGUUUGGGAUUGCUGCUCAAAGUGGGUGGUAGACUCCAUCUAAAGCUAAAUAUCGGGGAGAGACCGAUAGCGAACAAGUACCGUGAGGGAAAGAUGAAAAGCACUUUGGAAAGAGAGUUAAAAGUACGUGAAAUUGUCGAAAGGGAAGCACUUGAAGUCAGCCAUACUGCUUGAGACUCAGCCUGGCUUUUGCUUGGUGUAUUUCUCGGUAGCAAGCCAGCAUUGGUUUGUGUCGUCGGAGAAGCGUAUGGGGAAUGUGGCAUCCUCGGAUGUGUUAUAGCCCUGUGCAGGAUACGACGACGUAGACCAAGGAACGCAGUGUGCCCUCUGGGCGGGUCUUCGGACACCUUCACACUUAGGAUGCUGGCGUAAU
rnacentral:rRNA from 1 species